rnacentral:lncRNA from 1 species
CUAUACCCCCCUUUUAUAGGUGGCCUCUGUGGGAAAAAUUCAGUGCAGGGGUAAAAUAAUAAUUUUAAAACUUUUUUAAAAUUAUGAUUUUAUAAUAAAAAAUAUUAAUUAAUCUAAUUAAUUAACAUAAAUUUAUCCUACUCUAGGAUCUAAAUAUGAUAUAUAGCAUGCAUUCAUUUAAAUUUGAAAUUCAAAUUCGAACAGUAAACACUUUACUGUAAUGUGUUCAGAACACAAUACCUUUGUGUGGGUAGUAG